rnacentral:rRNA from 1 species
UGGGGAAUCUUGCGCAAUGGGCGAAGGCCUGACGCAGCCAUGCCGCGUGAAUGAUGAAGGUCUUAGGAUUGUAAAAUUCUUUCACCGGGGACGAUAAUGACGGUACCCGGAGAAGAAGCCCCGGCUAACUUCGUGCCAGCAGCCGCGGUAAUACGAAGGGGGCUAGCGUUGCUCGGAAUUACUGGGCGUAAAGGGCGCGUAGGCGGACAGUUUAGUCAGAGGUGAAAGCCCAGGGCUCAACCUUGGAAUUGCCUUUGAUACUGGCUGUCUUGAGUACGGGAGAGGUGUGCUGGAACUCCGAGUGUAGAGGUGAAAUUCGUAGAUAUUCGGAAGAACACCAGUGGCGAAGGCGACACACUGGCCCGUUACUGACGCUGAGGCGCGAAAGCGUGGGGAGCAAACAGGAUUAGAUACCCUGGUAGUCCACGCCGUAAACGAUGAGUGCUAGUUGUCGGCAUGCAUGCAUGUCGGUGACGCAGCUAACGCAUUAAGCACUCCGCCUGGGGAGUAC